AUAAAAUCAAUGCUCGCUGUCCUGCUCUUGCGGACAUUUACGAGCCUAAAUCACCGCCUUCCGACAGAGAAAGGCGGUCUCCAUUAGGGCUGAAGGUCUAUCAUUGAAGUCCAGCUGUUCAAGGGGUCAGUUGCCUCUCCUUCCUUCCACAUUCAUAUUAAAACUCGUUCUCAAAGAAUAAGGGCUUACUUCAAAAAGCCAGAGUCCAUAAGCUCAAUCCUGGCAAAUAAGAGCUGGCUAAAGAGCACCACUGGAGGUAAUACAGUAAAACUUGCAGGACUUGAUCAGUUUCAGGCCAGAGGCAAGUUUGGUAAUUGCAGAUUUGCUGCAUCCACUAAAAGACUGUCUCUCUCUGAUGAACCCAGAUCUGUGCCUAUGCUAGAGAACAUCACAGAGACAUGAAGAACACGUGAUUCUGAUGUUCUUUACUUAAUUCUUAUUAAUAAAGAAUAAUGGUUUUAGUUCCUGUGUUCA
rnacentral:lncRNA from 1 species